rnacentral:rRNA from 1 species
GACGAACGCUGGCGGCGUGCUUAACACAUGCGAGUCGAACGCUGAAGCACCAGCUUGCUGGUGUGGAUGAGUGGCGAACGGGUGAGUAAUACGUGAGUAACCUGCCCUUGACUCUGGGAUAAGCCCGGGAAACUGGGUCUAAUACUGGAUGCUACAUGUCACCGCAUGGUGGUGUGUGGAAAGGGUUUACUGGUCUUGGAUGGGCUCACGGCCUAUCAGCUUGUUGGUGAGGUAAUGGCUCACCAAGGCGACGACGGGUAGCCGGCCUGAGAGGGUGACCGGCCACACUGGGACUGAGACACGGCCCAGACUCCUACGGGAGGCAGCAGUGGGGAAUAUUGCACAAUGGGCGAAAGCCUGAUGCAGCGGCGCCGCGUGAGGGAUGACGGCCUUCGGGUUGUAAACCUCUUUCAGCAGGGAAGAAGCCACAAGUGACGGUACCUGCAGAAGAAGCGCCGGCUAACUACGUG